AUGAGUCGUCCUGAUGGCAUCAAUAUCCCCAAUGGAAAGUUGUACCUAAGAGGUGAUGGCUAUGCAUAUCGUCCAGGUGUUCUUCCAGCCUUCAAGAAAACCAGGUACCAUCUAAACGAGUUCACUGGUAGGAACUAUCCCCAGACUCCACAUGAACUAUUUAAUCUCAGACACUCCAGCCUAAGAGUUGCAGUUGAGAGGACAUUUGGAGAUGUAAAGAACUUGUUUAAGAUCCUGAAUCAGAAGCCAUUCCAUAGUUUUCCCAUCCAUGUUAAGCUUGUUCUUACUUGUUGCAUUCUGCAUAACUGGAUCUUGCAAUGGGGUUGUGAUGAACUGGUGACGAAGGAGGAAGAUGUGACGCCUAACGAUGUUGUCAGUUUCAGUCAUGGUGUGGACACAUUUGACAACAAAACCUGAAAGAACAAAAGGCUGUAG
rnacentral:rRNA from 1 species